UAGAAAAUAUCAAAUAUUCGUUUUGCUGUCUUCUUUCUUCUUCCUCCUCCUCUCAAAUCGGCCACAGCCAUUUCCUCUCUCUUUCUCGGCAACCUUGAUUCUCUCUCCAAAGCUAAACCCUUUCCGUAAUCUACCGUAGUUUCUGAAGUGGGUUUUCUGUAUUUAUUUGUAUUGAAGGGGAUUUUUCGAUUUCUGGGUCAGAAGAGAAGAAAGGGAGUAAGAGAGUGGUAUUACUAUUACUCAUGGAUUCAGAUCAAGGGAAGCUUUUCGUCGGUGGUAUUUCAUGGGAAACCGACGAAGACAAGCUAAGAGAACAUUUCAGCAGCUUUGGUGAUGUUUCGCAGGCUAUUGUGAUGAGGGACAAGCUCACAGGCCGACCUAGGGGUUUUGGUUUCGUUAUCUUCUCCGAUCCUUCUAUUCUCGAAAGGGUUCUUCAAGAAAAACAUCACAUUGAUACCAGAGAGGUUGAUGUGAAGAGAGCCAUGUCAAGAGAGGAGCAGCAAGUCUCUGGACGAUCUGGUAAUCUUAAUCCAUCUAGAAGUUCUGGAGGUGAUGCUUACAAUAAAACCAAGAAGAUCUUUGUUGGAGGCUUGCCUCCUACUUUGACAGAUGAAGAGUUUCGCCAGUACUUUGAGGUCUAUGGCCCUGUGGCUGAUGUUGUAAUCAUGCAUGACCAGACCACCAACCGUCCUCGCGGGUUUGGAUUUGUUUCCUUCGACUCUGAAGAUGCUGUAGACCGUGUGUUGCACAAGAACUUCCAUGAUUUGAGCGGUAAGCAAGUCGAAGUAAAGCGUGCUCUUCCUAAAGACGCCAAUCCUGGAAGUGCUGGACGGUCCAUGGGUGGUGGUGGCUCUUACCAGGGUUAUGGUGGCAAUGAAAGCAGUUACGAGGGACGUGUGGAUUCCAAUAGGUUUAUGCAGCCACAAAGUGUAGGAAAUGGUUUACCAUCUUAUGGUUCUUCUGGCUAUGGCGCUGGGUAUGGAAAUGGUAGUAACGGUGUCGGGUAUGGUGGCUAUGGAGGUUACACAGGCUCUGCUGGGGGUUAUGGUGCUGGUGCUGGUGCUGCAUACGGAGCAACGAGCAUGCCAGGUGCUGGCUAUGGAGCUAGUACUGGAAUUGCUCCGAGAAACUCAUGGGACGCUCCAGCUCCUAGUGGUUAUGGGAACCCAGGCUAUGGAAACGGUGCUGCUGCUCAGACUGGAUAUGGAGUUCCCGGUGCAGCUCCUUCUGCGCAGUCACCAUCAGGUUAUGGUAACCAAGGUUACGGAUAUGGAGGUGAUUCUGGUUAUGGAAAUCAAGCUGCAUAUGGUGCUGUUGGAGGACGCCCUAGUGGUGGGGGUUCGAACAACCCUGGUAGUGGUGGUGGCUACAUGGGAGGAGGUUAUGGUGAUGGAUUUUGGCGAUCUGACCCGUCACAAGGCUAUGGUGGUCAGGGUCGGCAAGGCCAAUAGUCACUAUCUAAAGUGAUUAUCAAAACUUCAUCAAGGCUUAAGCAGGGAAUAAGGUACUCGAUUAAGAAAGCAGAUGGCGAGCAGAAGUAGAUGGAGCCAUGGAGGACUCAUGUUCAAGGUUGCUUGAGUUCUUAGGUGGAGCAACGACUCAACGAGGUUGAUCUGAGGUUGUGCCUGCUUGGAGUUGAGGUAAUCGCUUAAAGAAUGAAGAGUCAGUCAAGUCACAUUAUCAAGUGGCUUGUCUGUAGUCACGUUAUGUGGCCUAUUAGGUUCUUUUGUUAGGGAUGGGAUUCUUGAGAGUGAAACAAACAUUAGAUAGGCAAAUAUUAUGGAAGCACAAAGGCAGCCACAUUUCUUAAAAACUCAUCCAAUACUAGAUAGACAAAUAAGUGAGAGCUAAUUUAUUUUAUUCUCAAGUCGCUCAUGCAGUGCAACUAUAAGUUUUCUUCUCGUUUAGCUCAGUGGUGUCCAAUCUUGCCACCGCCAAGGCCAAAGCCUUUUCCGAUUUCGCCUCCAAAGCCUUUGCCUAUUCCUCCACCAAAACCACCUCCUUUUCCAAAGCCACCUCCAAAACCACCUCCUUUGCCUAUUCCUCCACCGAAGCCACCGCCUUUUCCAAUACCACCUCCAAAACCACCGCCUUUGCCUAUCCCACCGCCAAAACUACCGCCUUUGCCAAAACCUCCGCCAAUGCCUAUACCGUGUCCACCACCAAAACCGCCUCCAAAGCCCUUUCCACCUCCUAUGAAGGUCUUCUCCUCUUCAUUUUUGCCAAAACUCACACCAUCUCUCGCAGCAACAUUGAUCACCA